rnacentral:lncRNA from 1 species
CACUAAGCUGGGCUGGAAAGCAAGCAGGUUUGAAUGAUCAGAGAAUAGACAGAUGCUUUCUAAAGUGCUGGAGAUCAAAAUAACAGCCACAAAUUUCUGGUCCUGUGAACCUGACCUUUAGACCAGUACUGUAUUUCUGACCCAGACCUGCCCAGAACCCAGCAAAAUAAGGUUAUACUUUCUGCCUGGUCUUUCAGAAUAAUAAUUAACAGUAGUGCUCUGAUCUCUUUGAACUAUUUUAAUGAGGAAAUGCCAAAGUAGGUGUGAACUAUGGAAUCUCUGAACGGGAGCACCUGGCAAAGGUCACCUUUAAAUUGAAGCACAAACCUAUUCCUUUGGGUUAAGUUGGUGCUUUGGUCUUACUGCAGAAGGCAGCCCUGCUGGUGCCGAUCCAUUGGGGCUCUGAACAUCAGAAUGGCACUGGGCCUCCAUGAAGUUCCUUAAGGAGGACAACAGAGGAAUGUUGGAUCCUAUGUGGCUGAUGUGUGGAUGUGAUAUUCAGAAAGCUAAUCCUUGACAGCAACAAAUUGGAAGUUCCUGGGCUUGCAAAUAAAUGUGGGUAUUUUCAUCAGACCUUCAUAUUUUCUUCAGUAACUGUGAAAUCAAAAGCACUUCUAAAAAUCCAUCGAGAACACUUUGGAGUCGUGGGGAAUAUCCAGGUUGGUCUGCUAGAAUUACUGGAUGGAAGAGACAGUGGAAAAUAAUAGUUGGCCACACUGGUCUCAGGAAAACAGGGCGGAAAUGGGUAAAGCCAUUAUGAAAAUCAAUUUACCCUAGAAACCUGUAACUACAUAGGCUUUUUUUUAUUGUUAUUUCUGAACUCAGAGCUCUGUGUGAUUAAUGGAUCAAACAGUGUAAGCUAGACCUGAAAUGUCUGUUCGAAAAUAUUAUGUUAAAUGCUCCUGCUCAUUUGCAUACUGUCUGCCUGUUAAUAAAGUCACAGGAGAGGAAGAAAGCUGUAGAACUGUCUUAUCUGUACAAAUAACACCUUGCAUUUUGGAAACAGAGUGAUCUGCUUUGGAGGCCUCUGCUGCAGUAUUAGAUGACCACAGAGGACGCUGCUUUCAAAAGCAACACAGCUGAGCCUCCUGCCAGAGCUCUGCUCUGUAGCACUCACAUUUAGUGCUGGACAAACCAACCUAUGAUGUGUUUCCCAUGGUGCUGUGCAACCCCUCUGAGCUCCAGCAAGGAGGAUUUAAAAAGAAAUAGAGCAAAAGACAAGGACAGAUUUAAUGAGGGUUUUUGCUGUGCAAAGUCUAUGGCAUGAGGGCCAAAAUAAUGGGGAAGGAAUAGGUUGGUUUGCACAAGGCAGGCACUGUGCUGCUGCACCACUUCACCCUGCUAAUGCUGUACAAUGGGAUUCUGCUGAAACUCGGAUGUUGGCGAGCUCUGCUCUGGCUUCCUGCACAAAGACAAAUGUUGUGCUACUCUCAAGUAUGCCUGGAAUGUAAUUCUGCUGCCCUGCCAUUCAUUUGUGGUGCCUUUUCACAUUUGUGCUAAUGAGAGUUCUUUUCCAGAACUCCAGAAACACUUGGGUGAUGUUCGCACUGUGAAAUAAACAUUUAUUUGUGGUUUGGAAAGUUUUCCACUGCUUGGUGCUUUUUGCUUUUCAGAGCAAAAUUUUUCAGUGAAUGGGGCUGUGAUCCAGUUCUGACUGCAGAAAGUAAACAGUUUCUCUGCUGUGAAGAUCAGGAGGCACUGGGAACUUCUCAGGAAGCUUCUUUUCCCAAGAGAUCCUCAUUGGUGUUCACAUCACAGCCUCUUCCCAAGGAUGAGGUUCCCCAUCCCUCCCUCAGGUACAGAGCUCGCUGCAUCCUGCCCUCAGCUCCCCAUCAGCCCCGGGCUGAGCACUGGUGACCCUUGUGGCUGUGGUGCUCUUUGCUUACUGUCAUCAAGGUUGGGAAAGACCUCGAGGAUCUCCAAGUCCAAGCAUCAAUCCUAAGCGUUCCUCUUCUCCAUUUCUGAGCCCAGGACUCUCUGGCACCUCAGCCCAGCAGAGCGGAAGCAGCAAUGAUCUGAGAAAAAUAAAGUAUAUUUUGCAGUCAGAGCUUAGGGAGGAAAAGAGAAAUCAGAUGAGGCUUCCUGGAGCUCCACAAUCUCUUGAAAAUAAAUGAACAGAUUGCCAUGAAUGAAUAAACUGCUUCAGACGCUAAUUCACAUUCAGGAGGCCACGGAGCUGAGGGUACCAGUGAAGAUGACAGAAACAUUUCCCUCUGAUUGUUCCUGCAUUGCGCCGUCUCAUUGCUGAAGGUAGCAAACAGAAGAUAGCCGUGCUCUGCACACAAACCGCUCGGCACAGAUGGCUCCGGGUGCGUCUGUCGGCUGCGAGCUCAGUGCACAUUGCUGCCCAUGGAAACUGCAGCACUGCCUCAGGAGAGGAAAAGUGGGGAAAUUCAGUCAGUAGCAACCAAAGGGCAAUGAAUCUCAUGGCCUGCAGGUGAGUGCUCAGGCACCGCACGUGCCAUGGUGGCAAUGGCAGAAGGGAUCGAUGCCCUGUGCCUGUCUCAGCAUGGGGCUGUGCAGUGGGGAUGCCUCAGCCCCAUUGAGCCCUGAGGGAGCAGAGGGGUCCCACUGCCUGUCCCCAGCUGGAUAAAUGUAGCACAGAAAGGUCAGGCUGUCACAGAAUCACAAAUUCAUUCAGGUUGGAGAAGGGCAGUUCUAAACUGUUCCUUAUUUGAUCUGAUGCAGCUCUGGAAAUUGGGUAGUUUGACAGAGCUGGGGUUUUUUAGAUAAGCCAUCUCUAUCAGCAUUUUCAAGUGGUGUUUUGGUAGAUUCCCUGAGACGUCAAAAUGGACAGACUGCAAAAAUCUGUGCAAAAGUAAAAACCUGUUAUGGAAAUCCUUGAGUUAAGCUGCGUUCAGCAGAGCAAUUUAUGAAUAUGCAAUUCAGGCUGUACCUACUGGGCAUGUAGGUUGCCAUUGCUUUUAGCUUUCAUGUGCGGACAGUCUCAUUCAGCAGAAUGACAUUUUGACAUCCAGAAAUGACUAGCUCUCACCACCUAACAACAGAUGAAGUCAAAUUUUGCUACAACUUAUACCUUUGCAGCAGCUAACGCUUCUAUUUGCUUAGAGAUGGUCAAGGAGAGAUGCUCAUUGAUGCAUUUAGUAGAGAAUGCUGAUCACACACCAGUUAAAGUUACCUGUGUGUAAUGGCUUCCAACACCACACAGCUGACAGUGAUGGGAGCUCAGGCACUGACACAGGAGGUGCUCGCCUUGCUGUCUGUAUAAAGCUGACCUUCCAGAGGAACCUUGGAGCUGCUGAGCCUUGUCUUGCAGGGAAUCAUCAAGCAGGUAGGCUGAGGGUAAAUAUGUGGCAGUGAGUGUGGAGAUGCUCAGGUGCCUGUUGUGCACAACCACAGCUUGAGGCUCAGUCAAGUUUGCCAAACUAUUGUACUGAGAUUUAUAAGACAAGCAAUAGUACUGUAACCAAAGCAGUGCUAUCAGUUACUGCCUGCAGAGAUGAAUAACGCGUGGCUGGUGGUCUGCAGCCUGUAGGGCUGCCUUGUCCCUGUCCUGAUGCCAGCAGCCUUGUGUUGCUGCCUAAAAAAAACCUGUCUUAUGGUAUGUGUUCUCCAGGUUUGUUACUACUUGUUCUUUUGGACUGGAUUUUGAUGUUUGCAUAUAAAAUACAGGUUACUUAUUCCUGUGGCUUUUGCUGUGUUUUCCAGUGGCUGAAUGAUAGGCUUGCUUUGUUUUGACUGGGAGAUGUGUGGUUUCAUUUCCAGAUGGUAUGGUCCAGAGUGGGAACAGUGGGGCACUACAGAAUCUGUAGAGGUUUGGUACUGCAAAGUAGUUACAGUUUUGGUUUAGGCACAAGGCACGUAAAAGCCUGUAUGUAGCCCUGCAGGUACAGGAGGUGCCCACAUGUAGAGGGAUGGGUUGUGCUUCAGCCAUGUGGGUAAUGAGAGAGGAAUUCAGUCCCAGGGAAACUCUGAAAUGUAUUUGAGUUGGGCAAAAACAGUUCCUUCUCUCUUGACUGUGCAGCUUAGUUGUUCUAAUUUGGACCAGGUGGAAACUAUUUCUCUUCAGCUGAAAAGUCAUUGCAGCCAACAGUAGUGAAAGCUCUUCUGAGCAAGGACCAAGAACUGCUGUGAUCUAUCAUUCCUCUUGCCAUGAGCAAAAUAUGUGAUGCCACACUCUGAUUGUGAGAGUGAUCUGAUAGGGAUAGGCCUCCUGGAGCUGAGGACUCUGCUGAAAAGAACAUGGCAGAAAAAACAUCCCUCCACAAAUGGGGGCAAAGCAUUGCAUGGACACUCAGUGUUCCUUCAGGAGAAAAUAGGAGGAAAAUUCAGCAGGAGUGCCAUCACCUAAGAGGUUUCCUCCUUGCCUGUGGGAUGCUGAUCAUGUGUUAAAUACUGAGGGAGGUUUGGUGACUGCUUGGAUGCAGGUAACAGUGAAACAACGUGAGAAGUAGUUUGAGAGGAUCAACCUUCCUGUAGCUUUUAUUUUCAGCUUUUGGCAGUCAGUGGUAUGGGAGUUUCUUGGCCAUUGGAUUUAAUAGUCAUCAGUGGACCAAUCCUCCUCAAAUCUCCCUGAAUCACUUUUGAAGCCAGUAAUACCUUGGUGUUACCUGGUGCCGGUAAGUUGCAUACAUUUCAUUAUCUGCUAGCUGAAAAUGCCUCUAACUUGUGUUAAACUUCUUUGAAGAUCUUUCUGGUAUUCACUCUCCUUGAGAGUGGAAGGCUGUGUGUGUAAGUGGCGUAUAGAGGUCGCUGAAGGCUGGGAGAGCAAAGAAAAAGCGCGGUCCCAAAGGAGGUGGUGGGUGGAAGUCUUCCCUUUUCCUUAAAUUGAGUGCAUGCAGAGCUUUCCAGCUCAACUCUGGAGGAUAUCCAAGAAGCACAGCAGCUAUUUUACUUAAACUGUUUUCUUGAACAGCUGCCUACUUGUGAGAGUCCCUCUGCAUUUAUUUUCUGUCUUGAUAUUCCUCUGGUAAUAGAAUAUAGUCAUUUAGACUUGAAUAGAAAAGGAAUUAAAAGCCUGGAGUAUACGCAGGUAUGGGUUUUCUUGGUACUUUUCUGUUGUUGCUGAGGGUAGUUGAAUUUAACUCCUAAUUACAUGGGAGAAUUUUGCAGACUAAGCAGCGCUGAUGGUUUAAAGUAAAUUCCUAUCUGGCAAUUUGAAACAGUUCUGCAGCCUUGUUUAGGGGCACAGAAGAUCUUCAGUGUCUGAUAAAGACAGACAAGUUUUACUUGAAUUUCAAUGUGCUCUUUUGCAACCAAGGUGUUAAUAUUUCUAUGUACCUGACUAUCACAGUGAAUGUUGUGUAAGAGCAUUAAAUGUCACUUUCAUGCCUUUAUAAAAUAUCUGAGGCUCUGUUCAUUAUAGCAAGAUCAACAUGCAUAAUAAAUCAAUAAAAUUCAGGGUUUAUGUAGCACUUACAAGAACAGUCUGAUUCUUGGUAUCAAAGAUGCAAUUAGUUUUGGUUUGCCAGCUUGAAACUUCCAUAGACUCCAAAGAACAGGCAGCCCAAGUCUGAUCUGAGCGUAACACUUGUCUCAAUGGAACUUCUGUGGGAAGGAGGGCUGUGUUUCAUAAUGCACGGCCUCCUGCACCAUCCAUUCUCCCAGUGCCUUUUCGCAAAUCUCUUAUGCACUCCAAUCCCAUUCACUUAAAUAACAAAGUUUCAUUGCAGUCAACAAAAAUGAGUGUGCUCUGUUCUGUUGUGUGCGCACCUGACAGACAGAUGGAGUUGAGCUGAACCUGGCCCCUCCACCAUCAUGCUUGGUGCAGCCUUCCAUGCUGCUGCUCACUGACCUGAAAGCAUGAAGACCUCAUCCAUUUUCCAACCAGCAUAGUUCAUUUAUGUGGCUAUUCAGGAG